CUGCAAAGAAAUUUGAUAUCAGUGGGAUAAAGAAACCGUAGACAGAACACUCUUCCCAAAGGAGGUGGAAGAAGAGGCUACUUUCAGUUUGUAGUGUUUUAUGAAAGUCAUCGGAGAAGACCAGGUGGCUGCUCUGCAAAUAUCAUUGUAUGGAACCUCUGCCCAAUUAGCCCAUGAAGUCCAUAAUGCUCUGGUAGAAUGUGUUCUUAUCUUAAUUGGAGGAGACUGACCUUUAGAGACAUACACUUUCCUGAUUAUUAGCGAGAUCCAACGUUUCAAUGUAGAUAAAGAGGCCGCCUCACCUCUCCUAGCUCCUGAAGGAAGAACGAAGAGUUGGUCAGUCUUUCUGUAUGACUUAGAACGAAGAAGGUAUUGAGACAGACAGUUCUUAACAUCCAAACGUUGCCCCCUAACUUCUUUACUAGAAGAUGGAUUAGGAUAGGAAGGACCACUUCUUCAGAGAGAUGAAACUGAGAUAACACCUUAGGAAGAUACUCCAGUUUUGGUCUCAGA